rnacentral:rRNA from 1 species
CCUACGGGAGGCAGCAGUGGGGAAUCUUGCGCAAUGGGCGAAAGCCUGACGCAGCAACGCCGCGUGGGGGAUGAAGGCUCUCGGGUUGUAAACCCCUUUCAGCAGGGACGAAUCAAGACGGUACCUGCAGAAGAAGCCCCGGCUAACUACGUGCCAGCAGCCGCGGUAACACGUAGGGGGCAAGCGUUGUCCGGAUUUAUUGGGCGUAAAGAGCUCGUAGGUGGCUGAGUAAGUCGGAUGUUAAAUCCCCAGGCUCAACCUGGGACACCACCCGAUACUGCUCUGGCUAGAGUCCGGUAGGGGAGCGUGGAAUUCCUGGUGUAGCGGUGAAAUGCGCAGAUAUCAGGAGGAACACCAGCGGCGAAGGCGGCGCUCUGGGCCGGUACUGACACUGAGGAGCGAAGGCGUGGGUAGCAAACAGGAUUAGAUACCCUGGUAGUCCACGCCGUAAACGUUGGGCACUAGGUGUGGGGUCUAUUCAACGGACUCCGUGCCGUAGCUAACGCAUUAAGUGCCCCGCCUGGGGAGUACGGCCGCAAGGCUAAAACUUAAAUGAAUUGACGGCUGAGACGNGCGAGCGACGACGAGGAGAG